rnacentral:rRNA from 1 species
UACGAAGGGGGCUAGCGUUGUUCGGAAUCACUGGGCUUAAAGGGCGCGUAGGCGGGUUCGCAAGUCUGUGGUGAAAGCCCCCCAGCUUAACUGGGGAAGUGCCGUGGAUACUGCGAAUCUUGAGGAGGGUAGGGGCGUCUGGAACGGUCGGUGGAGCGGUGAAAUGCGUUGAUAUCGACCGGAACUCCGGUGGCGAAGGCGAGGCGCUGGACCCUUUCUGACGCUGAGGCGCGAAAGCCAGGGGAGCAAACGGG